rnacentral:rRNA from 1 species
CCUACGGGUGGCAGCAGUGAGGAAUAUUGGUCAAUGGGCGGGAGCCUGAACCAGCCAAGCCGCGUGAGGGAAGAAGGUACAGCGUAUCGUAAACCUCUUUUGUCAGGGAACAAAGGCGGGGACUAGUCCCCGGAUGAGGGUACCUGAAGAAAAAGCAUCGGCUAACUCCGUGCCAGCAGCCGCGGUAAUACGGAGGAUGCGAGCGUUAUCCGGAUUUAUUGGGUUUAAAGGGUGCGUAGGUGGUUAAUUAAGUCAGCGGUGAAAGUUUGUGGCUCAACCAUAAAAUUGCCGUUGAAACUGGUUGACUUGAGUAUAUUUGAGGUAGGCGGAAUGCGUGGUGUAGCGGUGAAAUGCAUAGAUAUCACGCAGAACUCCGAUUGCGAAGGCAGCUUACUAAACUAUAACUGACACUGAAGCACGAAAGCGUGGGGAUCAAACAGGAUUAGAUACCCUUGUAGUC